GGGACAUGAUCAUGUUUUCUCUGCUAGUGCGAUUAUUACAGAAUCAAGGCCAAAUGAAUGUCAGAAAAAACAGGACUUCAAUAAAAGAAAUAUCUAGAAGCUGAUAUAAGGGAUUUUAAAGAACAUGAACCAAAUCAACCAACCAAUCAACAAGCCAAUCAAAACUCCCAAGACUUCUGCUGCUGUUCAGGAGAGAUACGUGACUAGUAUCAAAUCACUACUUGCUGUUGUGGUUUUCAGAGCGGGUCGGACAGCCUCGUGAUUGGUUCUGUCUCCCAUGGCCUUGGCGUUGGACUUCUGUUAAAAGACACGUGUCUUCCAUCUGCUGGUUCACUCCCCAAGGAGGUACAUCAUUGAAAAGUUGUGCACCUGCUUCACAGCCUCCAUGAGCAGGAAAAAGGACCUGGAAUUUCAGAAGAGACUGAAGCUCCAUGAAUGCAGACUCCUGCCUGUGAUUCUCUGAGCGGAGGCUUUGAAUAAACAGUGCCCUGAGAUUAUACAGGUACAUGGUUCAGACUGCUGGAUUUGUGGAGAUUUGUUACAUAUUAAUAGAAAACUA